rnacentral:lncRNA from 1 species
AAUAUUAACCUUCGCUUUCCACAGGCAUUUUUUUCUGCAAAUGGCACCAGCUUUGGGACUUAAAAUUUUAUUCCAAAUACUAUUUAGAUGCAUCAGGGCUCUCAAAAUAUGGAUUUCAAGUUGGAGACAUCAAAGUGCAUUAUUUACUAAAACCACUGCAGCUUUUUUCCCCUCUCAUUUCACAAGAUGCUAUUGUAAAUUCAGGCUGCUUUAAUCUCUGUGAUUAAAAAAAAAAAAAGGAAGAAAGAAAAAAAAAAGUGCUGCUUGAAGAGGAACUGAACUCACAAUCUGGGAGCUAGAAAUGCUCUCUUGCGCUCUCUCUGUCUCCAGUGAUAAGCUGACCAGAUGUCUUGAAUUAAGUACAGGGUCGCCAACAUCUCUAAUAGAAUCCAACUGUGGAAUAGAAAAAAUAUUUCAUCUAAGAAGUGGAUCCUAGCUGUCAAAUAAAAAAUCGCUGUUGAA